UCUUUGCCGGGGCGAAGCCUGACUGCGACGCCGCGUGCGGGAUGAAGGCCUUCGGGUCGUAAACCGCUGUUACGAGGAACGAAGGUCUCCGCUGUGAACAACGGCGGGGAAUUGGCGGUACCUCGAGAGAAAGCCACGGCUAACUCCGUGCCAGCAGCCGCGGUAAUACGGAGGUGGCAAGCGUUGCUCGGAUUUACUGGGUGUAAAGGGCACGUAGGCGGCCUGGUAAGCCCUGCCUGAAAUGCUUCGGCUCAACCGGAGUAUGUGGUGGGGGACUGCCGGGCUGGAGGAUGGGAGAGGCGAGCGGAAUUCCCGGUGUAAGGGUGAAGUGUGUAGAUAUCGGGAGGAACACCAGUGGCGAAAGCGGCUCGCUGGCCCAUUUCUGACGCUGAGGUGCGAAAG
rnacentral:rRNA from 1 species